rnacentral:misc_RNA from 1 species
AUAGACAAACAAUAGGUCUUAUACUACUACUAUUAAACAAGAUAAGAGUUUUUGGUGGUGGAUGCCUUGGGUCUGGAAGCCCAUGAAGACGGCUCCCCCUCUGGGUAGUCCCUUUAUUUAUUAUAUUUCAAGUUUAGAUCAACCUAUAGAAUAUAUCAUACA